GACAGGCUAAGAAAUGUCUUUAUUCUAUUUAGCUGAUUAUGCAUCUAGCUGAAAACUGGGAUUUGGUUCUCAUGGAAAAAGGGAAGAAUGGCAUUGUUUUGUCAAUGAGAUGGGACCUUAAGACAACUGUUAAAGGUUCUGGGACGGCUCCUAGCUGCAGGUGGAGGUACCCACAGAGCCCUUUGGGUUUGCGGCCUCUCUCUGGAAUCUCUGCACUGUCAUAGAGUAUAAAAUUUUGCAGUUUAAUUGGAGUUCUCCCUCUACUGUGAUUCUUUACUUUCAACAACUUUUAAAUAUAAAAGAAAAAAGACUUCAUGGCAAGAGCAAAGAAAAGGAGAAAUUACUUGUCUUAUUUCCUCAACGGCUAUGUUAUCAUCCAUAGAAGAAGGCAAUGGCAACCCACUCCAGUACUCUUGCCUGUAAAAUCCCAUGCACGGAGGAGCCUGCAUAAGGAAGAAGCACCAAUUGAUAAAGAAAUACAGUGUUAAACAUGAAACCGCAUCUCUCUGCUCUCAGAAGAAGGACCAAUUGAUAAAGAAAUACAGUGUUAAACAUGAAACCGCAUCUCUCUGCUCUCAGAAUGUGAGAAAAAAAAACCUGGAAUGGUUUAUAUGGCUAUUUAUAGCUAGUAUUAAUUUCACUGGUAUUUGUAUUUUCAAAAGUUACAAUUCAGACUGUAUCAGAGAGCAAAACAGCAUCUUCCUCUUUUCCUCUUCCGUUUGUCUGAAUAUUUAGGUACAUUCCCCCUUUGAAUGUUUAAAAUUAGACAUUCUCACAGUCUUUCUUGGCAUUUCAGUGCUCAAUAUGAAAAUAUCAACAGUAGUCAACUGUGUUCUUAAUUUAACCACUCUUUGAUUUUAUAGUUGCAAUAUCUUUUCCCCUAUAUGUUUAAAAAUCAUAAAAUAUGAAUAUAAAUAAGCUGUCUUUGUGUUAUGUUUUGUUUUGUUGGUAGAGGUUGGGUUGCAAACAAAAAUGCCCACUCCUUGUCCUGUUUAAUUUACUGGUUCUUUAAAUGGUCAACAUUUUCUUUACCUCAGACCUCUGCAGGCUUCUAGAACCAUGACAAGGGUACUACGUCUGCUUGAUUAAGUUGUGCAAAGUCAGUACAAUGUAUGUACCGGUAGCACAGGCUCAGAGGCAGAGGACCUCCAUUCA